UCAGAAGUAAUUUUGAAUGCCUAGGGUUGGUUACCCCUUGUUGUUGACGGUUGACGUUUUCUGUCAACCUGCUGUCAACUAUCAAUUAAGUUAUCCAUACAAGGUAACAGGUGAUUUAAACUAAUAAAUUUUUGACACUAGUUACCAUAUCUUUUGUUUGUCACUACAAACCAACCUAACCAAAUUUAUGGUUCACGAAUAUUCCUAGGGAGUAAUUUCUUGUUGAUACAAUAAUAUUUCUGAUAAUUCUAGUUACAAAUAACAUGAAAAACGUAAUUUUCCUAGAAGUUAAAAUCCUAGGUGGUAAUUUCUUGUUGACAAAUCUAUAUGUAAAACUGGUUUCAACGUUGCAGUUAUUAUCAGCUCGCAGACAAGACGAAAGUAUUGGAUUUUCUAGCAAAUGAGGGCGCAUUAUCUCGACCAUUUGGUGGCACGGGUUUUGCAUAUCCAUAAAUUCUAAUGCCUCUUGUCCAAUAUCUGCAAUCCUCUGAACUAUACCAACGAACAUACCUAGAGCUGGGAUAAAAUAGUCCUCCACGAUCCUGAAUAUUGACAAGUUGUAAUAAAGGACCAGGCACAGUAAAUGUACGUUUUCUAUAUUGGGAAGCUAGAUAGCAGGUAGGGAUGGUACAGUAGCAGAGCUAACGAAGCUUGCAUUUACGGACGUCGAAGCUUUAAUUAUGCCACAUCGCAAAAUUUGUCGCAUAGCAUAUUCGGCUGCCCUGGCAUCAGUGGCGUCGUUGGAACCUCCCUUUAAUCUUACAUGUGAGAACAUGGUUUCAACACAAUCAGAACUGAAUGAUCUUGUGAGCACAUAAUAAAAUUCGACUUCAUUCAGUAAAUAUUUUAGGUCGUCGAACUUUGCUGAAUGUCAGCAACGUACUCUUGAAAGGUGGUAUUCAACCAGUGAAGAUGUUCAUCCGAAAUGUGGACAAAAGGCGCCUCACUACUAUCCAAAGUGUUAAUGUAUUGGUACCUUCUUGAAACAUUAUGUCCUUAAAAAGUGGAAUCUUAAUGCUGCCGUUACCGAUGGAGAAAAAACUUGAAUGGCUCUUCGCCCAUACAUUUUCUCAAAAAUUGUGCGAAUUAAAUGCUUCUUGGUCAAAUGGUUAACAGAAAUUAUCCCUUCUGAUGAACCCAUAUCGUGAUCAAGGAAAAUACUUCAGGCAUUUUUUACUACAUACACAAAGUCAAAACUCAAAAAUAAUGUGGAAAUGGAAUGUGGAAUAAAUUUUGAUGACAUCCAUUGCCAAGUUUUUUGAAAAGGCCAACAUUUCCAGAAAAGUUGUUUGUUACAAGUCUCAAAACUAUAAAAUUACAGUCUGUUAGCAGUUGCAACAUUUUUAAAGUAAUGGAAUGGAAAUCUUUUGCCGUUAAGUUGCGUGGAAAAAGUAUCCAGCUGGAAUUGUGAACUGAGUUGACAAUUCAUGGACAACAUAACAUAGCAUUUUACUGGCUAUUUUCUGCUUUUCACCAAUCGUUCCUGAACUGCAGGUAUCUAAACCAUACACAUAAUAUUCUGAACGACUGUAGUGCAUUUUCUCUUUAAUUGACAUGUCAUCAAUUACUAAAGAAGAUAUUCGUUCAAUAGGAUGCCUAAACUGAAAUACUUCGGUACACAGGCGUUCUUUGAUUAAUUUAUUUUGACCGUUGAAUUUUCCAAGAUGUCUCAAGAUUGUUGAUUUCGAAGUGAAACGGACUCACGUAAUGGUUGCUUUGGAUUGGGAAUUAUUUCGUAAAUAGAACAGCUUAAAAUGAAGGUGGGAACUGCAUUUACGAGGGUGGAUCCCUAUGCUGCACCCCUGACCCCUUUACAGUCAAACUACAUCUCAACAGUUCCUGGAAAAAGUUUUCGCCGACCUCUGUUUCCACUCUUUACUUUGCAGUUUUGGUUUGGGAUCAUAGUGGUGCACCCAUGACUCCUCUAGUGUCACAUACCGACUAAGAAAGUUCUCUUUGUUUGCUUGGUACUUUUCCAAAAGACGCUUACAAGUAAACACCCGAUUUCAUUUUUGAUCACAUUCGGGGCACCCAUUUUGCACUCAUCUUUUUCAUACCUAAUUCUUUAUUCAGUAUGUGGUGCACCACAUGAUAUGAUAAGCCAGUAUCUUCCACAAUGUUUGUGAUGCGUACUCAUCGGUCUUGCAGUACGAUAUCGUGUACCUUUUUAAUGUUUUUGUCUGUUGUUACCGUUAUGGGAGGACCACCGACAUGCUGGUUUUACAGGAUGUUCUUCCGCAUUUAAAAUCUCGACACCAAUGUUUGACUAUGUCAUAAGAAACUGCAGACUCCUCAAUAGUUGCCACAAUGUCUUCAUGAUUAUGAAUACAAAAUAGUAAUCAAAAAAUGUAAAACAUAAAAAUGUAUACUAUAAAAAUAGAGUAAAAUAAGAAAUAAAAGGUAAACAAGAAAUAAUGACCUUUGUUAUAUAAAGUGUGUAAAAACUACAAACAGCAAACAAAACAUGAAUUUUUUUUUGUUUCAGAACUUUUUAUAAGUUAAAAGAUAUGUGUUUAGCUCAAAUUAAAAAGAACAAGGAACAAAA